rnacentral:misc_RNA from 1 species
AAAAGUAGUUUGAAAUUAUUGUUUACCUGUUUUGGAGUUUUCAUAACUAAAACAUGUCAAAUUUAUCUUAAAAACAAUUUUUAAUGACCUCUAAUUGACAUAUUCAAGAUGAUAUUUUUCUCAAUAGCAAUUCCAAACAAACUCUUUAUUUUUAAUCUUCCUUAUUCAUGUAACUUUAUUCUCUUAGGGUUGAGAUUGAAGUGUAUAA